rnacentral:tRNA from 2 species
GGGCCUGUAGUUCAACGGCAGAAUACCGCAUUCGCAUUGCGGUGAUCCGAGUUCAAUUCUCGGUAGGUCCA